rnacentral:lncRNA from 1 species
AUUCUGUGCACUGUAGGCGCCGUGCCUCCCUGCUGUGCCCACUCCCCAAAGCAGCGUUCUAAACGGGCGGUAGAGCCGCACCGUUGCCCUUCCAACACCACGGCAACACAACGGCACAAUCGAACGUUCUAUUCUUUCCCACUUCACAGGGGAAAGGCGCACUUCAGGCCGAGUCCCGUGCCGGACGCGUUUUCUGAGGCGCUUCAAUUUCUGCGUGUUUGCGGCCCACUCGCCCACGUUCUCGCCGUGCUUUCCCGCGCAGCCCCGCCUCCACCCGUGUUCGCUGUGCACGCCGGUCCGUCGCGGUUGCUGACGCUUUGGCGCUUCCCGGUGACAAGCGGGCGGCUUGGUGUGGUUGGUCGGAGCCGGAGCCCGGAGGGGGGUGGGGGCGAGCAGGGGGGUGGGGGCGAGCGGGCGGGCGGGCAGCGCGGGGCCGGCCGGCGCCCAGAGCGCGAGGCGGCAGCGGGCGAAGGUCGCGAGGCAGCGGGGCUCGGGGUUGAGGCGCGCCCGGCUGAGGAGAGGCGGAGCGGAAAGGCCGGCGGAGCGGAGCUUUGGAGAGCGGGGCGGAGGGGAGGAGCAGGGGCAGGCCGACAGGGGCCCCGACGCCUUCCAGGCCGCGCGGCGCGUGGCUUGGCGGGCGGUGAAGGCGCAGAGCGAGGGAGCGGCCCGGCGGAAAGGAGGGCAGCCGAGGGGCCGCGUCCCAGCAUGGCCUCGGGUGGCGGCGGAGGAGCGGGAGGAGGAGCCGGCGGCGGCGGCGGCGGCAAGAUCCGGACCCGGCGGUACCACCUGGGCACCGCGAAUCCUCCGUACCGCAGGAGCAGGCAGGUGAGGAGCGGCGGAGCGGGGCCGACCCUCUCUCGGUCCCCACGUGCGAGGCGGCGGGUGAGGGGCGGGAGGGCGGCCCCUUUUGUUCCCCUCGGUGCCGGCGGCGGGACUGGCAGGGAAGAGGCCUCACCGCCCGGCGGGAGGGAGCGGGGACGGGAGCGGCCCUUCCCUCAUCUUCGCCCGCCCCGCGCUCCGCGUGCGGCCCGGGAAUGGAGGGGGCGGGGAACAAAGGCCGGGAGGUUACAGCCCCUCCGAGCGGCCCGAGGAGCGGGAGGGGAGUAUGUUGGUACCCAGUGCCUGUGGGUGCCCAGUGCCCGCUGGCUUCGUAUGGUUGUGCCCGAUCUGCGUCCUGUUCUUUAA